GGAGGUCUGGGAUUCACACUGAGCACAUGUGUCUGCCCAGGCUUGGGAUGUUUUCUGGGAAGGACUACCUGAAAUUCAUCACGUCUAAAUCCAUAUGUGUGAAAGUGCAUGAGGAGGACAUGGAAUGAUGCCACAUAUCUUGCUACAAAUAUGUAUAAACAGUUGCUAUCAAGGCUAAAAACAAAGAAGCUUUGGACAAAUUUGAACUCAAAAGAAUCCAGUACUUCAAACAUAAAAAGAAUCAUAUACCCUGAGAGUGAGGAUUUCUGGACCUAGAUAAAUAGGACUGAAAAGAAAGAGGCCUGGCCAAACAUGAAAAAAAAAAAAAAAAAAAAAAAAAAAAGAUAUAUGGGCCCAGGCCUAUUCCUGCUCCAGAAGAGGCUCAGGCCAAAAGCAAAAAGUGAUGUGGGCCUGAGCCUGUCCCUGAACUUUGAAGAGGCCCGGACCAAAAGCAAAAAGUGAUGUCGACCUGGGCAAAUCCCUGACCUUUGAAGAGACCUGGCAUAAAGAAGAAAUGUGGACUUGGGCUUAUACCUAACUUUGAGAGGCCCAGGCCAAAAGCAAGGAGUGAUGUGGGCCUGGACUUAUCCCAGACAAUUGAAGAGGGCCGGACGGAAAAACAAAAAAUGAUAUGGGCCUGGACCUAACCCUGUCCCUUGAAGAGGCCGGGGCUAAAAGCAAAAUGUGAUGUGGGCCUGGGCCUAUCCCUGAAAUUUAAAGAGGCCUGGGCACACUGCAAGAUAUGAAGAGGGUCUGGGCCUAUGCCUGACCUUUGAAGUGGCCCGGACAAAAAGCAAAAAAAUGAGGGCCUGGGCUAAAAGAAAGAAGUGAUGUGGGCCUGGGCCUAUCCCUGAAAUUUGAAGAGGCCUGGGCCUAACACAAGAAGUGAAGAGGGCCUAGGCCUAUGCUGACCCUAGAAGAGCCUUGGGUCAAAAGGAAGAAGUGAUAUGGGCAUUGUCCUAUCCUCCCGAUCCAUGAAGAGGCCUAUCCUUGACAUAUGAAGAGGCCCCGGGCCACAAGAAAGAAGUUAAAGUGCCUGGUCUUAUCCCUGAAGUUUGAAAAGGCCCGGGCCUAAAGAAAGUAGUUUUAUGUUCCCGGGCCUAUUCCUGAACAUUAAAGAGGCCCAGGCCAAAGUAAAUAAGAGAUGAGGGCCUGGGCCUAUCCCUGAACAUUAAAGAGGCCCAGGCCAAAGUAAAUAAGAGAUGAGGGCCUGGGCCCAUCCCUGACCCUUGAAGAGGCUCGGGCCAAAAGGAAGAAGUGAUGUGGGCCUGGGCCUAACCCUGACACUUUGAAGUGGCCUGGGCUUAAAGCAAGAAAUGAUGGGGGCCUAGGCCUAUACCUGAAGUUUACUUUUUCCUUUCUUUUCCUUCCCCUUCCCUCCUUUCUCCUUUCCCCCUCCCUCUCCCCUUUCCCCCUUUCCUCCUUCCCACCUUCCUCCUGGGCACACAACACAUCUUUCUUUAGGGGAAAAGGUUUUUACCCCUUUCCCCUUGUCCCCUUGUCCCCUUGUCCCCUUUCCCCCUCUCCCUCUCUCCUUCCCCCCUGUCCCCUUUUCCCCUCCCCACUUUAGGGGGAAAGAAAGAUGUGAUGUGUGCCAAGGAGGAAGGGGGAAAGAGGGAAGGGGAAAGAGGAAAUGGGGAAAGGGGGAAAAACCUUUCCCCCUCCCCCAUUUCUCCUUUACUCCUCUCCCUUUCCCUUUUCCCCCUCCCCACUUUUCCCCUUCCCCUUUUCUUUAGGGUGUGUCUUAGGGCUUCUAUUCCUGCACAAACAUCAUGACCAAGAAGCAGUUGGGGAGGAAAGGGUUUAUUCAGCUUACAUUUCACUGAAAGAAGUCAGGACUGGAACUCAAGCAGGUCAGGGAGCAGGAGCUGAUUCAGAGGCCAUGGAGGGAUGUCCUUUACUGGCUUGCUUCCCCUGCCUUGCUCAGCCUGCUCUCUUAUAGAACCAAGACUACCAGCCCAGGGAUGGUCACACCUACAAGAGGCCUUUCCCACUUGAUCACUAAUUGAGAAAAUGCCUUACAGUUGGAUUUCUUGGAGGCAUUUCCCCAACUGAAAUGCCUUUCUCUGUGAUAACUCCAGCUGUGUCAUGUUGACACAAAACUAGCCAGUACAAUUGACCCCUCGUCAACUUGACACACAAACACAUCACUAUUAAGCCUCAACCCUUACAUUCUUAUUCAUCC
rnacentral:lncRNA from 1 species